CACGUAGGGUGCAAGCGUUGUCCGGAAUUAUUGGGCGUAAAGGGCUCGUAGGCGGUCCGUCACGUCGGGAGUGAAUACUCGGGGCUCAACCCCGAGCCUGCUUUCGAUACGGGCGGACUAGAGGUAGGUAGGGGAGAACGGAAUUCCUGGUGUAGCGGUGGAAUGCGCAGAUAUCAGGAGGAACACCGGUGGCGAAGGCGGUUCUCUGGGCCUUACCUGACGCUGAGGCGCGAAAGCGUGGGGAGCGAACAGG
rnacentral:rRNA from 1 species